rnacentral:rRNA from 1 species
CCUGAUCCCUUGCCGAACUCAGUAGUGAAACGUAAUAGCGCCGAUGGUAGUGUGGGGUCUCCCCAUGUGAGAGUAGGACAUCGCCAGGC